rnacentral:rRNA from 1 species
UAGGGAAUCUUCGGCAAUGGGGGCAACCCUGACCGAGCAACGCCGCGUGAGUGAAGAAGGUUUUCGGAUUGUAAAGCUCUGUUGUAAGAGAAGAACGUGUGUGAGAGUGGAAAGUUCACACAGUGACGGUAACUUACCAGAAAGGGACGGCUAACUACGUGCCAGCAGCCGCGGUAAUACGUAGGUCCCGAGCGUUGUCCGGAUUUAUUGGGCGUAAAGCGAGCGCAGGCGGUUUAAUAAGUCUGAAGUUAAAGGCAGUGGCUUAACCAUUGUUCGCUUUGGAAACUGUUAAACUUGGGUGCAGAAGGGGAGAGUGGAAUUCCGUGUGUAGCGGUGAAAUGCGUAGAUAUAUGGAGGAGCACCGAUGGCGAAAGCGGCUCUCUGGUCUGUAACUGACGCUGAGGCUCGAAAGCGUGGGGAGCAAACAGG